CAUCACAUGGGGUUUGGUCACCGCUGCAUCCCAGUGUCAGGAGCCAGGAAGGACCUGCUAAUGACCGUAGAAGAAGCAGGAGAAGGGUAGGCGGGCCUCCUCGCAAUUGCGCUUGGGUUUCAUAUUUGCAGCUGCUGGACGGAUGUUAACUGGAGUGAUAAUUGUACCAUUUGAAUGCCCGGGAAUUUUAUGUUAAAAGUCUUUUAUCUUCGUGUGUGUGUGUGUGUGUGUUUGAGACACAGCAUCGCUGUGAAUUGAGUGGUGCACUUUGUUAUUUAGUAUGUGCUUUUGGUAUUGGUACACUUAUGUAACCCCCAUAAGUUUUGUACU